UUGACCAGUCAUGACCCUAAGGACCUCAUCUAUAUCCCUCUCCUCUGGGACCUCGUAUCUUCUCUACCCCUGUCCAAUGUGCAAACAGCAAUGUGCCCUUCAAGACCUUGCCCAAGCCCCGCUUCCUCCUUGAUUCCACUCAUGCAGCACACCUGCCCCCAGUCCAGUUUGGUGUCCCUCUUCUGUGCCUCCACAGACCCAACAUCCACCCAAACACCACCUUUUCCACCCCAUACUGCCAUGGCCUGCUGAUGCGUCUGCAAGAGUGGGUAUAAUCUGGAGGUGGGGUCUGGUCUCUUAUCUUCUGUUUACUCGUAGCAGUUUGAAACAAAGGAGUCUUGCAUUCUGAAACAACUGCGGAGAAGCAUCUGAACCCAGCUGAUGGAGGUCAAAUUCUACUUUAAAUCCAUCUGUGGGAGUCAUUGGCAGUGAUCAAAACCUAGACGGUCUCCAAGGCAAGUACUAGUGGCCCACCCUUAAUCCAGUUGCACCUGCUCAUGCUCUAGGAUUCAGCUCAGCUGGCAUCUCUUUGAGGCACCAUUCUUCGCUCUCUCGGUCAGGCCCAGAUCAUCAACCUAGGCAGAGCUGGCUGGGAUGACCCAGGACUCCCCACGUGGAAUGCAAUCAAAUCAGCUGUGCCUUAUAGGACAUGGGAAUGAAAAUUUUACACAUUACUGCCAACUCAAUCCUGAAACAGUGCUGUUCUCCUGUCUCUUGCUCAAGAAACUUUCCUGACUCCCCAUUAACCAAAGGUUGAAGUCCAAACUCCAUAAUUUGACUUUCCAUUGAUCUGAAUUGUAUACAUCUUUCCGUCCAUUCAUUCAUUCAUAAACACCUAUCAGUCACCUGUUAUAUACCAGGCAUUAGGAAUAAACAUUGAAUGAAACACAAUGUCUACUCUCAAGAAGUUCAUGGCCAUCCCUCAAAUAAAUGACAAUCUGGCCCAAAUUCUUUUCCUUGCAUAACUUCCACCACAUGUAUGUGAACAGUCCAUUCUGGGCCAACAGGUGCACUCAUGUUAUCCCAAUGUGUUGGUUAAAGUUCUGCAGGCAGGUAAAUGAUGGCUUAAAACCCAUUUCUCUUGCUUUCUAGUAAGCUUCUAAAUCUUUCUGUACCUUAGUUGCCUUACAAGGUUGAAGUAAGGGUUAAAUAAUUUAGUGUGGAACUCAUACUGAGUGCUCUUACAGAGCAGUUUUUACUGUUACUGUUGUUGCUGUUGUUCAUUCUCCUCUCUAAGCCUUGUUUGCAGCCAGCUCUCAGGUGAAAGGGCCUGACCCCCUGCUCUGCCCACACCGUUCCCAGGCCUUGCAAGGCCAGCUUGCUCCUCUAGGAACCACUCCUUCUGCUUGAAUCGCUCGUGAUACCUAGGACCUGGACUGUUGUCAGGGGAUCACAGGUGUGGGACUCCACUUCCUGCACGAAGUGUAAACUCUGGGAAGACAAGGAGAAGUCUUAAAAUUAUGUAGAUCCUCCCAUGGGAAACCCAGGAUGCUAUGACCUAUGAAAUUUGGGACUUGCUGUGAAAUAAACCAGCAAAUGUGAUGUUUCUUAGAAUUCAACCUCACGGUGUUUGUCUGCUUUGGCUCAUAAAUUCCCUGGAGAUAAAUCCUGCAUGUGUGCAUUGCCCCACAUUUUAGUCUUUCCAGCUCAUGUCUUGUCUGAGGCAGAAUGGGGAGAAUGCAACGGUUUAGAAUAAGUACUGAUCUGUCAUCCCUAGAGGUGAAGAGCACUAAUAAAGUAAGAGGUUGUUGUAAUUCUUCUACCACAAAGGAACCCAUUAUUAUUAUCUAUAUGAAAAAUUAUUUUCAUCUCUCUGUCUACAGUACCUAGCGUGGUAUCAAGUAGGUUCUUAGUAAAUGGUUUUUUUGCAUUUCAAAUAAAUGAUUGACUCUCAGCUUUGAGAGUGUUUCUGUCAAACAAAUUUUGUUUCUUAAAGAGUAAUAAGUAAUUUUUUCGCUUCCUAAAUUAAUCACAGAUGUGUAUAAAUCAACAGACAAUAAGUGGAAAGCAGAAAACAGCAAUAAAACAGUCUAUUAAAUUGAGCUUCUGUGGCAGACGCAGUUGGUUGCCAACAACAAUUCUCCUCCCUCUUCUUUGUCCCUAGCAGACCCCCCUUCUUCCAAUGAUGGGAAUAAAAAUACUGGGCCCUUACUCUACAGCUUGCCUAUGUGAAUCUGUUUGAGCCAAUGAGACAUAAAGAGAAGUUUCCUGUGUUUAGAGGAGACUUCUAGAAAAUAUUCCUCUUCACUCCAUGAUAAAAAUAUAUUUUAAAAACACACACACACAAAAAGCCAAAGCACUUGUGCCUCCCUUUUGCUUUUGUCGCUGCUAUCUUGGGACCAUGCAUGGUGAUAUGAUUUAUACACCAGGAAAGAUGGCUCCGAGACAGGAGAAUACUUGAGUCCUUGAUGACAUUGUCAAGCUGCUCAGUCAAUACUGGCUGAGUCAGUACUGGGACC